GACGAACGCUGGCGGCGUGCCUAAUACAUGCAAGUCGAACGCAGUGGGGACGGGUGAGUAACAAGUGGGUAACCUCCCAUCAGAGGGGAUAACCCUUGGAAACAGGUGCUAAACCGCUACUGGUGGAUGGAGCCGCGGUGCAUUAGCUAGGUGGUGGGGUAACGGCUCACCAAGGCCACGAUGCAUAGACGACCUGAGAGGGUGAUCGGCCACACUGGGACUGAGACACGGCCCAGACUCCUACGUGAGGCAGCAGUAGGGAAUCUUCGGCAAUGGACGAAAGUCUGACCGAGCAACGCCGCGUGAGUGAAGAAGGUUGUCGGAUCGUAAAGCUCUGUUGUUAGAGAAGCGGUAUCUAACCAGAAAGCCACGGCUAACUACGUGCCAGCAGCCGCGGUAAUAC
rnacentral:rRNA from 1 species